rnacentral:rRNA from 1 species
UACGUAGGGCGCAAGCGUUGUCCGGAAUUAUUGGGCGUAAAGAGCUCGUAGGCGGCCUGUCGCGUCGGCUGUGAAAGCCCGGGGCUCAACCCCGGGUCUGCAGUCGAUACGGGCAGGCUAGAGUGCGGUAGGGGAGAGCGGAAUUCCCGGUGUAGUGGUGGAAUGCGUAGAUAUCGGGAGGAACACCAGUGGCGAAGGCGGCUCUCUGGACCGGUGCUGACGCUCAGGCGCGAAAGCGUGGGGAGCGAUCCGG